CAUCGCCUCCUGCUCACGACCGUAUAGGAGGUCUCGCCUGCCCCGUGAUCACAUAUUUAACGGCCGCGGUAUUUUAACCGUGCAAAGGUAGCGCAAUCAAUUGUUUCUUAAAUAGAGACCUGUAUGAAUGGCACAACGAGGGUUUAACUGUCUCUUUCUUCCAGUCAGUGAAACUGAUCUGCCCGUGCAGAAGCGGGCAUGCUUACGCAAGACGAGAAGACCCUAUGGAGCUUUAGACGCCUACCAAUCACAUCAAAGGCGGUUAGAAAGCCUAAACCCCAAACAACGUGAUCCUGGCCAGGGCGUCUUAGGUUGGGGCGACCGUGGAGGAGAGCAAAGCCUUCGACGAGGACAGGGGCCCAUAACCCUAAAGCCAAGAGCCACACCUCUAAGUCUCGAAACAUUCGACCGAUAACUGAUCCGGCUUUUGCCGAUCAACGGACCAAGUUACCCUAGGGAUAACAGCGCAAUCCUCUCCCAGAGUCCAUAUCGACGAGAGGGUUUACGACCUCGAUGUUGGAUCAGGACAUCCUAAUGGCGCAGCCGCUAUUAAGGGUUCGUUUGUUCAACGAUUAAAGUCCUACGU
rnacentral:rRNA from 1 species